AGAAAUACAACAACGGAAAAAGUUGUGGACUAACUUAAAGCAAACUCAAAGAGAUAUUAUAACAAAAGAAAGACAAGCUAGAUUUGCUAUAGGUGUCGGACCAGAAACACCAUCCUCAGAACUAGAUCCAAAUGUUGCUUUAAUAGCGCCUAAUUUAAUGGCCGUAGUCCCUACAUUAUUUUCAUCAAAUAUGAAUGAUGAUGAAAUAGAAAAUCACAAACAGAUCGUACAAGAUAUAAAUGACAGUACAAUAGAACUUGAUCAAACGAUCAAGUGACAGAUAAGGAAAACAUAACUUUAUGUGAAACAAAAGCAUCAGAUUCCAAAGAAGUUAUAAUAGAAGAAAUAAUAAGCAAGACCACGAAGAAACGCAGUUCAUAGAAACAGAAGAUGAUUUAAAAAUUGUAAGAAUAAUGAAGCAAGAACAACAGUUGGCCAAAAUAAAACUCAAACAUGAAGAAACCAUGGCUGCUAUUAAAGAAACUCAUUUAAAGGAAUUAAAGAAAGCAGAAUUAAGGAUGUCGCUGACAAAAGCUAGAGAAGCUGAAAAAAAGGCUGAAAUAACUGAACUUUUAUUAAAGAAAGAAAAAUACAUUAUUCCUUACCUAUUUGUAAGUUUAAAACUUUAGAAGACUUAAAAAAACCACAAGAACAUCUUCAGGACUAUCCCCUGACUAUAUGAAUGUCCUCUAAUAUCCCAGGACGUCCUAAGACAUAUUUAGGAUGAGGAUCUUAAUCAAGAGGAAUGUUCAGCAACUGAAAAAGUUAUGGACAAAUUUAAAAUAGAAUCAAAGAGAUGCAUUAACCAAGGAGAAGCAAGCCCGGAUGGCAAUAGGUUGAGGACUAUCCAUUACAUCAGUUGAAAUUGAUCCUGAUACAUCAGUAAUAGCUCUAGACUUAAUGAAAACUGCAUCGACAAUUUAUUCAUCUAAUUUUGACAACAAAGAAA
rnacentral:lncRNA from 1 species